rnacentral:rRNA from 1 species
AGUGGAUGGGGAGCAACCUAUGUUGUGCGUGUGUAAAGGUAGUGCCAAGAAAAGCGAUGAUCAUGUUGAAAAUCAAUUCCCGGUACCCGAAACCGACACAGGUGGGCAAGUAGAGAAUACUAAGGGGCGCGAGGUAACUCUCUCCAAGGAACUCGGCAAAAUGACCCCGUAACUUAGGGAGAAGGGGUGCCACCGAGAGGUGGUCGCAGUGAAGAGGCCCAGGCGACUGUUUAGCAAAAACAUAGGUCUCUGCAAACUCGAAAGAGGAGGUAUAGGGGCUGACGCCUGCCCAGUGCCGGAAGGUUAAAGAAGUUGGUCAGUUUUAGGAUGAAGCUAGCGACUGAAGCCCCGGUGAACGGCGGCCGUAACUAUAACGGUCCUAAGGUAGCGAAAUUCCUUGUCGGGUAAGUUCCAACCCGCACGAAAGGCGUAACGAUCUGGGCGCUGUCUCGGAGAGAGGCUCGGCGAAAUAGGAUUGUCUGUGAAGAUACGGACUACCUGCAUUUGGACAGAAAGACCCUAUGAAGCUUUACUAUAGCUUGGAAUUGUGUUCGGGCUUCCUGUGCGCGGGAUAGGUGGGAGGCGUAGAAGGUAUUCUUGUGGGGAUACUGGAGCCAACGGUGAGAUACCACUCUCAGGAGGCUAGAAUUCUAACUUAAUUAAGGACAGUUUCAGGUGGGUAGUUUGACUGGGGCGGUCGCCUCCAAAAAGGUAACGGAGGCGUACAAAGGUUCCCUCAGACUGGUUGGAAAUCAGUCGAAGAGUGCAAAGGCAGAAGGGAGCUUGACUGCGAGAAGUACAGUUCGAGCAGGGUGGAAACACGGUCUUAGUGAUCCGACGGUGCUGUGUGGAAGGGCCGUCGCUCAACGGAUAAAAGUUACUCUAGGAUAACAGGCUGAUCUCCCCCAAGAGUUCACAUCGACGGGGAGGUUUGGCACCUCGAUGUCGGCUCAUCGCAACCUGGGGCGGAAGUACGUCCCAAGGGUUGGGCUGUUCGCCCAUUAAAGCGGUACGUGAGCUGGGUUCAGAACGUCGUGAGACAGUUCGGUCCAUAUCCGAUGUAGGCGUGAGAAUAUUGAGAGGAGCCUUCCUUAGUACGAGAGGACCGGGAAGGACGCACCGCUGGUGUACCUGUUAUGAUGCCAAUUGUAAACGCAGGGUAGCCAAGUGCGGAGAGGAUAACCGCUGAAAGCAUCUAAGUGGGAAGCCCACCUCAAGAUGAGUAUUCUGGUGUAAGGUCACGGGAAGACGACCCGUAAAUAGGCACGAGGUGGAAGUGCAGAGAUGUAUGAAGCCGAAGUGUACUAAUAGACCGUCGGCUUG